rnacentral:rRNA from 1 species
UACGGGGGGGGCAAGCGUUGUUCGGAAUUACUGGGCGUAAAGGGCGCGUAGGCGGCUUUCUAAGUCGAACGUGAAAUCCCCGGGCUCAACCCGGGAACUGCGUCCGAGACUGAAAGGCUCGAAUCCGGGAGAGGGAUGUGGAAUUCCAGGUGUAGCGGUGAAAUGCGUAGAUAUCUGGAGGAACAUCGGUGGCGAAGGCGGCAUCCUGGACCGGUAUUGACGCUGAGGCGCGAAAGCCAGGGGAGCAAACGGG